rnacentral:rRNA from 1 species
CCUACGGGGGGCAGCAGUGGGGAAUAUUGGACAAUGGGCGAAAGCCUGAUCCAGCCAUGCCGCGUGUGUGAAGAAGGCCUUCGGGUUGUAAAGCACUUUCAGUGGGGAAGAAAGCCUUGGGGCUAAUACCCUCGAGGAAGGACAUCACCCACAGAAGAAGCACCGGCUAACUCCGUGCCAGCAGCCGCGGUAAUACGGAGGGUGCGAGCGUUAAUCGGAAUUACUGGGCGUAAAGCGCGCGUAGGCGGUCUGAUAAGCCGGUUGUGAAAGCCCCGGGCUCAACCUGGGAACGGCAUCCGGAACUGUCAGGCUAGAGUGCAGGAGAGGAAGGUAGAAUUCCCGGUGUAGCGGUGAAAUGCGUAGAGAUCGGGAGGAAUACCAGUGGCGAAGGCGGCCUUCUGGACUGACACUGACGCUGAGGUGCGAAAGCGUGGGUAGCAAACAGGAUUAGAAACCCCGGUAGUC